UCUUCUAUAAAAAUUAAAAACCCCUUACCAAUGAUUAUUUCUACAAUUUUUUUUUUUUUUUUACAUAUUGCGUCGUGUGAUGUAUAUACUUGCAACCAAACAUGUUGAGUCAUGGAAACCUUUUAAUGACUUGAAUCAAACUCAGAUUUUGAUGCCAAGAAGUUUAUUUUGAAGUUUGUUGGAAACUUGGAAAAUCAUAGGACAUGAAAAAUUGUUGCAAAUGUCUUCAAAGAAACGUUCUAAUGGUUAAAAAUUGAAACUCCAUUUUAAAGUUUUCAAGUUGAGAUCAUAAAAUAGGUAAAGCAAAUUUAUGUGAUGAAAGAGGAUUGCCU
rnacentral:lncRNA from 1 species